CUUUAUCCUUGCAAAAACGUCUCUAGUAAUUCUAAAUGUUCGAAAUCAGAGCCUAUCAACUCUCCUUUGAUUGGCAGCCACAUUUACUGAUAAUUUCGUGGCCGUUAACUUGCUCUUUCUAGUCAAAUGUGAGAACCGAAUACAUUCACGCACUUCUAUGAAAAGUCGUGAAGAAAAGCUUCAGCCUAACGGGACCCGCCACUAUGCCUGGGCAUCGCAAACGAGACCAGCGUGAUCAUCUCUGUCGGACCCAGGAAGGCAGAAAGUUUCUUGAACGACUGCUCAGCUGACCGAAGUCACAACUGGGAAAAAUGGCGUCAUCCUUCCUUGAGAUUGUUAAUGUCGGCGAAUGCGCGGCGCUUGAGCGAGAGCGCCACCGUCCUUGGCUGCUCGUUCACCUGAGUGCGAAACGAAAAAGAAAAUAGCGCUGUGCCCUGCAGGUGU